rnacentral:rRNA from 1 species
GUUCCAGACUCCUACGGGAGGCAGCAGUGGGGGAUAUUGCACAAUGGGGGAAACCCUGAUGCAGCGACGCCGCGUGAGUGAAGAAGUAUUUCGGUAUGUAAAGCUCUAUCAGCAGGGAAGAAAAUGACAGUACCUGACCAAGAAGCCCCGGCUAACUACGUGCCAGCAGCCGCGGUAAUACGUAGGGGGCAAGCGUUAUCCGGAUUUACUGGGUGUAAAGGGAGCGUAGACGGUUAUGUAAGUCUGGAGUGAAAGCCCGGGGCCCAACCCCGGGACUGCUUUGGAAACUGUGUAACUGGAGUGUGUGAGAGGAUAGUAGAAUUCCAGGUGUAGGAGUGAAAUCCGUAGAUAUCUGGAGGAACAUCAGUGGCGAAGGCGACUAUCUGGCACAUAACUGACGCUGAGGAGCGAAAGCGUGGGUAGCAAACAGGAUUAGAUACCCUUGUAAG